rnacentral:rRNA from 1 species
UACAGAGGGUGCGAGCGUUGUUCGGAAUUACUGGGCGUAAAGCGCGUGUAGGCGGUUUAGCAAGUCAGGUGUGAAAUCCCGGAGCUCAACUCCGGACGUGCACUUGAAACUGCUAGGCUUGAGUGUGGUAGAGGAUGGCGGAAUACCCAGUGUAGAGGUGAAAUUCGUAGAUAUUGGGUAGAACACCGGUGGCGAAGGCGGCCAUCUGGGCCACAACUGACGCUGAGACGCGAAAGCGUGGGGAUCAAACAGG